GAUGUCGACAACUUCCCAAAAAUACCAUAAUUUUGUUUCGGAGCCGAUGGGGGGGAAACGGGUGACAGAAGUGCCUGGUGUGGGGCAAGCAACAGGUCGCAGGCUGUCCAACUAUGGAUGCACUCAGGCAACCAACUUGCUGGGAGAGUACCUGGUAAGGCAAGGGAGGGAACACUCUUUUGUUGACUUCAUGCAGGACAAUGCUAGUGCUCAGCCACAACAUGCCAAAGCUACCUAUAAUGCACUCAAGGAAUGGAGUGACAAUAACCUCAUGUAGAUGACUGACCAGCAUUUUUUGGACCACAGAUGAAGGUGAAACAUCACAACCUUCCAGCGAUGACGAGUCAUCCUUUCAUGUACUUUUGAUUUGUGUCCCCUUUUGUAAAUCGGUUUUCUAGGGCAGGGGGGAUGCCCAUGUGGCUCCGUGAAGCUACAAUCACAUACAGCUGGUAUGUCAACCUGAGGGUCCCUUGAGGGCCAUAUGGGUCACAUUUGUGUUGUCAGGAGGGCCACAUACAACUAAUUGAAGUCAUUUAAUAAAAAUUAUUACAGAA